rnacentral:tRNA from 7 species
GCACCCAGGCCCACACGGUAGAGCACAACGCUCUUAACCUUGUGGUCGUGGGUUCGAGCCCCACGGUGGGCGCC